AGUGAACGCUGGCGGUAGGCCUAACACAUGCAAGUCGAACGGUAGCACAGAGGAGCUUGCUCCUUGGGUGACGAGUGGCGGACGGGUGAGGAAUGCAUCGGAAUCUACUCUUUCGUGGGGGAUAACGUAGGGAAACUUACGCUAAUACCGCAUACGACCUACGGGUGAAAGCAGGGGACCUUCUAGGCCUUGCGCGAUUGAAUGAGCCGAUGUCCGAUUAGCUAGUUGGCGGGGUAAUGGCCCACCAAGGCGACGAUCGGUAGCUGGUCUGAGAGGAUGAUCAGCCACACUGGAACUGAGACACGGUCCAGACUCCUACGGGAGGCAGCAGUGGGGAAUAUUGGACAAUGGGCGCAAGCCUGAUCCAGCCAUACCGCGUGGGUGAAGAAGGCCUUCGGGUUGUAAAGCCCUUUUGUUGGGAAAGAAAAGCAGCCGGCUAAUACCCGGUUGUUCUGACGGUACCCAAAGAAUAAGCACCGGCUAACUUCGUGCCAGCAGCCGCCGUAA
rnacentral:rRNA from 1 species